AGAAAAUGCAGGUAAAUGAGAAAACAAAACAGAUAAAGUUCCUGCAGAGGGAACAGGAAAUGAGUGAAAAGGAUUUACGACUACCCGUCUUCUCUCAGACUCUGCUCCUGGGAUGUAACAUUCAUUGCUUGCUAUGUCUAUACCUCACUACAUGCAAUGCACCUUUAGAAGACUGUCUCCUUACUCCAUAAUGGAAUUUGUCUCUGACCUAUUGCAGCUAUGAGAUAAGCAUUACCUGCCCCAGAGGCUACCUGCCACUCAGUGAAGAUCAUAUGCCUAAGUCAUGACAUCAACAUCAAACUCUCUUCAAAUCUGGGAGAAAGGCUCAGCUCUUACAACCAGGACAAGAAGAAAUGACACCAGUAGAGAGAUCAUUUGGUGAGCAGCAGGGUUGAAAGAGCCUCAAACCAUGGAGAGAGAGCCUGGAUCUCGAGUAGAAAGGCUUCUGGCACUGAAGAAGUCAAACAGGAUCCCUGAGAGGGAAAAAGCCAGGAGCUUGGGGAAUUAUCUUCACCAAGGUCUGUCUAGAGAUGUGGUUGGCAGAUUUAUGACCCCCAAAGAUGUCUACAUCCUAAACCCAGGAAUCUGUGAGUAUGUUACCUUACAUGCAAAAGGGACUUUGCAGAAGAGAUUAAUACCUUGAGAUGGGAAUAUUAUUCUGGAUUAUCUGGGUGGGUCAGAUUUAAUCUUACAAUUCCUUUAAAGUGAAAGACAAGGAAGAGGCAGGGUGAAUCUGAGCAAUGUGAGAAGAACGUGCUGACUUUGAAGAAUGAGGAAGUAGAUCAUGAGCCAAAGACUGCAGUAGCCUCUAGAACCUGGGGACUGCCAGCAGCUUACAGCCAGCGAGAACACAGGGACCCAGGGCUGCAACAGCAAAGAAUGGAAUUCUGUCAAUAACCAAAUGGGCAAGGAAACAGACUCUUUCUUAGAGUAUCCCAAAAUAAAGGCAGCCCCAUGCACACCUUUAUUUUAGCUCAGGAAUACCUGUGUCAGAUUUCUGACCUACAGAACUGUAAGACACUAAGUUUGUGUUGUAUUAGCAGCUGAAAUUGUUGCAUUUUGUUACAGUAGCAAUGGAAAACUAAUACAAGAGGGUAAGCUAAGUUGGUUUGCAAAUUUGUAGAUGCACUGACUGAAUGCCAGCAAUUGAUACACCAAAGUUAAUAAAAUUCUGGGACUUUUAUCAAAACCAAGGCAAAGAGGAUAGCAUGAGCUACAAAUGCUAAUUGGGUGGUAAAACAUCCUUAACUUUACCUUCAGUCUUAUUUGUCUUUACUGAAACAUAGUAAGGGAAGAUGGGCAGGUCUGUGCAAGGACAGUGGCCCAGUCACUUAGGAGAGACAGUUAGUGCUUACAUACCUGUGGGACCUGCAUAGGGUCUCACUCAGAGUUUGAAGCAAAUAUCAGAAAAUGUCAUCCUUAAAAUUUAAGAAAGAGAAGAGAAUUAAUUAUCACAUUUAUUCCACAAAGGUGCAGAUACUGUACAAGGUGGCUUAUGAAUAUCAUCUUAUUUAAUCUUCACAGCAAUACCAGAAAACCAGGACUACUUUGUCCAUUCUAUCUACUGCAGAGAAAAUGAGACUCGGGAAGAUCCAGUAACUUCCCAGAGGCUACAGGGAAAAUAAGAUCUGCCUGAUUUCAAAGUGGUCAAGGGUGAAAUUAAUGGAUUUAACAAACAAAGCAAACAAACAAAUUUUCCUUAAAAGGCAUCCAAAAAUCUUUAUCCUGAAUUUAUGAGCACCAAACACCUUUCCAGGAUGUAAUUUUACCUGCUUUAGGAAACUGAUGUCCUGCCAGGUUUACUGCUGCCGUAAGUGAAUAACACUAUUUAGUGGUACCUAAUGCAUGCCAAGCAGAGAUUUGUGUUUGACCUAUUAUUCCCCAUUCUCACAAUAAUUAUAUUAGGUAGGUAAUCUCUCCAUUUUCCAAAUGAGGAAACUAAAAUUCAUAAAGAAUAAAGCCUUUCCCAAAGUUAAUAAACUAAUAAAUGGCAAUGCCAACAUUUCAAUUCUUGACUGUCUGAUGCAAACAUAUGUUACCUCCAGAGUUGGGGACCUAUGAGUCUGGCUAGUGUGAACUUCCUCUAUACAACCUCUGAACUCUGGAAGGACUGACAGAUUCAACUGACAAAUUCAACAUCUGUCACUCACAUCUGCUGUGAUGACCACACACCAAGGUUCAUUCAACCAUUCUGUAAAGUCCUAUUGGAAAGAAUCAGGCAAUCAAGAUUCCUAUCACCUCACCUUCCACAAGA
rnacentral:lncRNA from 1 species